CCAUGUCCAGGUUGAAGCUGCUGUAAAAGGCGGUGGAGGACCGAACGCACAUCCGUUGAAAAGGGUGGCGAUGAGGUGUGGGUAGGGGAGAAAUUCCAAUCGAACUCGGAGAUAGCUGGUUCUCCUCGAAAUAGUUUUAGGACUAGCCUGUCAAGAGUCUGCCGGAGGUAGAGCACUGAAUUUCCGCGGGGGCGUCAAAGCUUACCAAAGAAUAUCAAACUCCGAAUGCCGGCCAGAUGAUUUGAUGGAGUCAGACUGCACGAGAUAAGUUGGGUAGUCAAAAGGGAAACAGCCCAGACCACCAGCUAAGGUCCCAAAGUGCGUGUUAAGUGGAAAAGGAUGUGGGGAUUCGAAGACAACUAGGAUGUUGGCUCAGAAGCAGCCAUACAUUCAAAGAGUGCGUAACAGCUCACUAGUCGAGAGUCCCUGCGCCGAAAAUGUCCGGGGCUGAAACACGACACCGAAGCUGUGGAAUCAUGCUUGCAUGAUUGGUAGAGGAGCAUUCUUAACCCAGCGAAGCAUUACCGGAAGGAGAUGUGGAGAGUUAAGAAGAGAGAAUGCCGGAAUGAGUAGCGAGAAAUAGGUGAGAAUCCUAUUGGCCGAAUAUCUAAGGUUUCCAGAGUAAAGUUGAUCUGCUCUGGGUAAGUCGGGGCCUAAGGCGAGGUCGAAAGACGUAGUCGAUGGAUAACAGGUUGAGAUUCCUGUACUCCGUAAUAUAAGAAAUGUGGGGACACAGAGGCGAAGCAUGAGCCGGGAAUGGAAAGACCGGUGCAAGCACAGGAGGUGCAUGGGAGGCAAAUCCCCCAUGUAAGCCGGAGGUGUGAAGCGGAGCGAACAUAAGGGUAGCGAAGCAUGUGGAGCAGCUGUCGGGAAAAGCCGCUAUAAAGUAUUACGGACCCGUACCGUAAACCGACACAGGUGGAUGAGGAGAGAAUCCUAAGGCCGACGGAAGAAGCAUUGUUAAGGAAUUCGGCAAAAUGACCCCGUAACUUCGGGAGAAGGGGUGCCUUGGAAACAAGGCCGCAGAGAAUUGGCCCAAGCAACUGUUUAGCAAAAACACAGGUCUAUGCGAAACCGAAAGGUGAGGUAUAUGGGCUGACACCUGCCCGGUGCUGGAAGGUUAAGGGGAGUGCUCAGGAGUAAUCCGAAGGUGCGAACUUAAGCCCCAGUAAACGGCGGCCGUAACUAUAACGGUCCUAAGGUAGCGAAAUUCCUUGUCGGGUAAGUUCCGACCCGCACGAAAGGUGUAAUGAUUUGGGCGCUGUCUCGACAAUGCAUCCGGUGAAAUUGAAGUACCAGUGAAGAUGCUGGUUACCCGCGCCAGGACGGAAAGACCCCAUGGAGCUUUACUCUAGUUUGAUGCUGGGAUUCGAUACUGCAUGUACAGGAUAGGCGGGAGGCUAUGAAGAUGUGACGCCAGUUGCAUCAGAGCCGCUGUUGGGAUACCGCCCUUGCAGUAUUGGAUUUCUAACCUGCAGCCGUGAACCGGCCGGGGGACAACGUCAGGCGGGGAGUUUGACUGGGGCGGUCGCUCCGAAAGGGUAUCGGAGGCGCUCAAAGGUUCCCUCAGAAUGGUCGGAAACCAUUCGAAGAGUGCAAAGGCAGAAGGGAGCUUGACUGCGACACCGACGGGUGGAGCAGGUACGAAAGUAGGACUUAGUGAUCCGGUGGUAGAAAGUGGGAUUGCCAUCGCUCAACGGAUAAAAGCUACCCUGGGGAUAACAGGCUUAUCACUCCCAAGAGUUCACAUCGACGGAGUGGUUUGGCACCUCGAUGUCGGCUCAUCGCAUCCUGGGGCUGGAGCAGGUCCCAAGGGUUGGGCUGUUCGCCCAUUAAAGCGGUACGCGAGCUGGGUUCAGAACGUCGUGAGACAGUUCGGUCCCUAUCCGGCGCGGGCGUAGGAUAUCUGAAAGGAGCUGGCCUUAGUACGAGAGGACCGGGCUGGACGAACCUCUGGUUCACCGGUUGUCACACCAGUGGCAUAGCCGGGUAGCCAAGUUUGGAAGGGAUAAACGCUGAAGGCAUCUAAGCGUGAAGCCCCCCUUAAGAUGAGAUAUCCCGUGAGGAAUCACAUAAGACCCCUUAGAGACGAUGAGGUAGAUAGGGCAGAGGUGGAAGUGCGGUAACGCAUG
rnacentral:rRNA from 1 species